rnacentral:rRNA from 1 species
UAGGGAAUAUUGCAAAAUGGGCGAAAGCCCGAUGCAGCAACGCCGCGUGGGCGAUGAAGGCCUUCGGGUCGUAAAGCCCUUUUUGAGGGGAUGAGGAAGGACAGUACCCUCAGAAUAGGCCUCGGCUAACUACGUGCCAGCAGCCGCGGUAAAACGUAGGAGGCGAGCGUUAUCCGGAUUUACUGGGCGUAAAGCGCGUGCAGGCGGAUUGGAGAGUUGGAUGUGAAAGCUCCCGGCUUAACUGGGAGAGGUCGUUCAAUACUUCCAGUCUUGAGUGCAGUAGAGGGAAGUGGAAUUCCGGGUGUAGUGGUGAAAUGCGUAGAUAUCCGGAGGAACACCAGUGGCGAAAGCGGCUUCCUGGACUGUAACUGACGCUCAGACGCGAAAGCUAGGGUAGCAAACG